rnacentral:lncRNA from 1 species
UCCUUCAACCUUCGGUAAUGGGUAUCCUCUCUGGCUUGGAAGAGAUGUUACUAUCUAGAUGAUUACAAAGUGUGAUGAUACUGGAGGCGUUGAUGAAUGCUAAUAUAGAGUUCAUGGCAAUGAAGCUUGUGAAACUAAAUUUAGUGAUGUUUCAUGUCCAGUUAUUUAAGUCCUCAUACUUUUAUAAUUUUAGAUGUGUUCGGUAAUACUUAAAAAAAGGCAUAUUUUUUGACUUUUAAAAUAAAAAUAGUACCUUCCAAUAAAAAGAAGUAUUUGGUAACACCAUCCUAAAUGCGCUUUCACUCCCAAAAAAAAAAAAGAAAAGAUGUUUUACAGAAGCUAGAAAAUCUAUUUUCUAACAGAAGAAUCUUAUGGAAGCAACUUUAGAUUCGAUCAAACAUGUAUAAAGAUUUUUUCAGGACAUUUACAAAAUUUAAGUCAGCGAUCCUUGACGAUUUUGUAUAAAUUUGAGAUUUAUAACUAAUUUGGUGCGCAACAAGUGGACCAUUUCUUUUUUCGUUUUUCCCCCGCAUUGGCCAAGUGGCAAGUCACGUCGGCUCUAUACGGAGAUCGUGACUCAGGACUCGGAAGCAAUAGCUUGUCUUUUUGACGAAAGCAAUAUAAAAUUCUAUCAGGAAACAGCACCUAAUUUACUCGGCAGAGCUGAGCGAGAUGUCAGAUGGAAGGCAGACAACGAACGUUUUCACCCGUUGGUAUCCAUGACGGCCUGCAGCUCUGUUUCUUUCCCUUGGUUCUUUCCAGGCUUAUUCUAUCAUCAUCCAUCCUGAAAACAAGAUCUUUCCUCGUACUUAAAUCCAACUUGGGUCCUAACAUUUAAAUUCGUUCCUUUUCUUAGCAACAAUGGGUGUUAAAUCUCUCUUGCCAUGGUGGAGUCGAUUAAAAAACAAAAGGUAUUAUGACAUGUAUUGCAAAUAAAAGUUCUCAAAGAUGGAUUUUGCUCCGCUGGAUAACAAUCUCUCUUCGAGGCUGAAAGAACCAACCCACCUCGGUUGCAGAAACCUCAAACACCUUGAAACCCUAACUAUGGUACGAGAGUUGCACCUAUGCAACUAUCAACUAUGCCCCAUCCCCCGUGUCCAUAUGAUUGGCCUCUUCUUAUGGUUUUGGUUCUUGAAAUGGUUGGUGAAGUUUCUAAUUGGAACAUGGCAUCCUAAGCAAUUUACUAGAAAAUAUGUCAGUCCUUUUUUUUUCAUAUAGGUUGGCCCUGAGAAUGCUACGAGGUCCACUCCAAAUUUGCUAAGCAAUCAUUGAAUGGAAUACUAGGUCAAUCCAAGUUCAUUGAUAUGGUGUAUCUUUUUUGUUGGUAGAGAAGAAGGAAGGCCUCCAAACGAGAAAGAAAAUAACGAAAAAAAGAAAGAUAAAUUAUAGAUGAACAAGGAGCCGAUCAAGUUUGCAUACGCCAGGUGGGAGAAAAAUGAUGGGAAAUUGUCGAACCAUGCAAGCCUGCUGAAGUUGCACUCAUGAACCUAAAUUACCCAGUUUUUUCGAUUUUAUUGACUCUGCCAGUAUGAUUAAUGGCUAUUACAAAGUUACGUGUGGUUGCAAUUGCUUGCAGAUAGUUUGGCACAAGUGUUAAAUGAUUUUCUGGUAGCUAUCCUCAGGUAGAAUUCCAUUUGGGUUUGAUUUCAGAUUUACCCACAAUUUUACCAUUACAAUUGUUACCAUUAGAAAGAUAAUAUGCUGAAUUCCUUUUGGAUUUUCAAUUUUCAUCUCUUAUUUUACGAGAUCGUAUCAUCUCAAUAAUAUAAAUGCAAAUUUUUUAAGUGUUCUGCGAAGGUAAUAAUUGCAGGUAACAACUUUUUUUUUUUUUACACCGGCUUAGGGUUUCAAUGGAAUUGAUGGGCGAAUGCUGCUGACUGUAUUAACAUUGGCAGAAAAGCUACCUAUCUUUUACAAAGGUGUUGCUUAAGAGUUCUGAAAUGCUCUGCAUUGCAGGUUCAGUGGCACAAUUGUCAUGUAAUUUACAUGUAAUCUGUUGCUUUCUACAGUUGUACACGGUCACCAACACCAAACUUUGUUCGCCACUUUGAGGAGACAAAUAUUCCUCAUUUCAGUCUCUACUGUAAUGGAGUACAUUAGAACUUUGCUGUUUAAGUGAUCUGAAAGAAGAUAUUUCUGCAACUUCUUGCAACCAAAUGAGCACCAAAUGUGACCCGCCAACUUGAGAUGGAUCCUCCUCCUCCAAUUCUAUAACGGGCUGAUUUCAAGCAUCAGCUGAUAGUGUGUGUGUGUGUGUGUGUGUGUCAUUUACUGAAGGUCUUCAUCACAUCCUUCUCCCUAGUCAUCAAGUCUUUGCAUAAGAUCCUAAUAUUCCUAAGUUUCUUGAUAUAAGGUUUCUCAAGUAUUCCAAGUGUGAUGACAUUGAAGGAAUUAUCCGGAGGUAGGAUGCAUAAUUUGAGGGUUAAGGUCUCGUGGAGACAUUUUUGGUGAGAUUUCCUGUCCACUAACUGCAAGACCUUGUGGCCAAAGUAGGCUUAGGUGGUUUGGUAACCAAUGUAGUAGUUUCAGAUUCUGAGUGCAAGCGUUCGAAAGGAAGCUUUGUCCCGAUCACAUUAUCACCAGUACUGCUGCACUUUGGUCUGUUAUCAAGGGUUACUUGUUUGUUUCUAUGUAAAUAUUCAUAUAGAGAAAUUGGUAACUCAACCUAAUCCAGAAUAGCAAAACAGAAAGAAGAACUUACAAGUAAAUAUAUUUUUCUAAAAUCUUCAUAACAUGCUUAAGUUUCUCAUAAUGCAAUUUCCAUAACAUGCAUGUUACCAUUUGCCAAUCAUAACUCAGAUAGGGUUAAUAACUUACAUGAAGGUGAACCUUUUCUUUUGACUGAGAUCCAACAGAACUUCAGACUACAGUGGGUACACACACUUCUUCCUGCGAAGACUGACCUUCGCAGUCUUACUGACCUUCUCCAUUGGCACUGCUGCUGGAUCCCCUCCUACUGACAGUGGUGUUCUUCAAUAUCUGCAAGAAAACAAACCAUAUUUAGAGCUUGUUCAGGAAAGAAAGCUGACACCCAGGCAAAAUCAACCUACAACUACGUUGUCAGCCAUAAGACAGAAAGCAUCAAGAAGUGUGACAAUAUAUACAUAUAAAUUAGAGAGAGAGAGAGAGAGAGAGCAGUCGGAUUCAAUCAAGUUAGAGCACAUGAUGCUACUGGUAACAAAUAAAUUACUCCAGAACGGAUGCUUUGGGCAGAAUGUGCAUGCCAAACACAGCUAACAAAGACCAUAAUGCAACAAAAGCAGUGCAAGUUUCCAUCAAAGAAACAGACACUACUGUGCAAGUCACAUGAUAUGAUACAGAACUAGAUGACAAGGAAGCAUCCCACCAAAGUUUGAGGCAUUUCUUUAAUGAAAGAUCUAAUUUCCUUGACUAGAAGAAAGAAAACAGCUCGAUUACUUAGAGAUCCAACUCUCCACCACCCACCCAGAGUAGUACCCCUUCAAAGCCUCAGCAAGACGAGGAUGGCAGCGAUCGCUGCAGAGUUUUUCUGAGAAGCAAAUGACUCCAGUAAUAUGCGAUGCCACCAUGUUGGAAAACGGAUAAAGAAGAAAAUGAUGUCACGGCUUACUGUGGUCGACAAAGGGACACGUCUGGGGGCAGGACUAAGACCAGAACCUAGAACGGCAGCUGCAGUUAAUUACCCAAAAUACCCCUCAUUAGAUGGUACUCUCGUAUCAGCCUAUCCUGAGACUCUGAUAUUUCUUUUUAAAGUGGAUAAUUUAUACAGAUGUAAUAGGAUAUAUUCGAUAGAGUUAGAAAAUGAUCUCUCUCUCUCUCUNN